rnacentral:rRNA from 1 species
AUUGAACGCUGGCGGCAUGCCUUACACAUGCAAGUCGAACGGCAGCACGGGGGCAACCCUGGUGGCGAGUGGCGAACGGGUGAGUAAUAUAUCGGAACGUGCCCUAGAGUGGGGGAUAACGUAGCGAAAGUUACGCUAAUACCGCAUACGAUCUAAGGAUGAAAGUGGGGGAUCGCAAGACCUCAUGCUCGUGGAGCGGCCGAUAUCUGAUUAGCUAGUUGGUAGGGUAAAAGCCUACCAAGGCUACGAUCAGUAGCUGGUCUGAGAGGACGACCAGCCACACUGGAACUGAGACACGGUCCAGACUCCUACGGGAGGCAGCAGUGGGGAAUUUUGGACAAUGGGCGCAAGCCUGAUCCAGCAAUGCCGCGUGCAGGAAGAAGGGCCUUCGGGUUGUAAACUGCUUUUGUACGGAACGAGAAGGCUCUGGUUAAUACCUGGGGCUCGAUGACGGUACCGUAAGAAUAAGCACCGGCUAACUACGUGCCAGCAG